CAAAUUUCUAAGUAUUAAGCAAAUCCGUUGUUGCCGGUCAGUUUUGUUCUUAAUCGUCAAAUUCUCGAACUAUUUAUUUUUUCAUUACUUAACCGUAUUUACCUGAAUAAAAAUGUCUUCAGAUGAAUCUAGCCUGCGCUCUGCAGCACAUUGGAAUCGGAAAAUAUUUUGGACAUUCAUAUAGCGAUCAGUGCAAGGGGAAAUCAUCACUAAUCAUGCGUCCAGUUUUCUAAAGUAAGACCCACUGCACUGAGAUACUUAAGAUGACUACAUGUUUCUGUUCAUUUGUUGUCACAUAAUUAUGUCGUCAUUAUGCAGGGUCACUUCAACUUAAAUGUAGUGUGUAUAGGAAUUCCCGACUUUCUUUCAAAUUCAUAGAAUGCACGGGACAAUAAAUCACUAAAACACAGUUAGAAGUCUAAUAAACUUUCAACAACUUCAAGAAAAGAACUGUAUAAAGUCAACAACUAGUCUAGAAUGAUGAAAUUAAGGGAAUGAGCAACUUAACCAUCAAUAUAUAAGUUCUAAUUUUUUUUUCUAUGUGAAAUAUUUUCCAAGUUCAUUCCUUUGGAAUCUACAGUUUGUGAAUUCUAUUAAAACCUUUAAGCUAUAUGAUAUAAUAUAUUGAGUAUUAGUUAUAAAUGUUUAGGUAAGUAUAAGUCCAUGUGUGUUGAAUAAAAAUUGUUGAGAAAUAAA